rnacentral:rRNA from 1 species
UGCAAGUCGAACGAUGAAGUUCCUUCGGGAAUGGAUUAGUGGCGAACGGGUGAGGAACACGUGAGAAACCUGCCCUUCAUUCUGGGAUAACACCGGGAAACCGGCGCUAAUACCGGAUACUCCAUCUUUUGCGGCAUCGUCGAGCUAGGAAAAAUUUUGAUGAAAGAUGGUCUCGCGGCCUAUCAGCUAGUUGGUGAGGUAAAGGCUCACCAAGGCGACGACGGGUAGCCGGCCUGAGAGGGCGACCGGCCACACUGGGACUGAGACACGGCCCAGACUCC